GUGGUAACAGGCCCCAGAAUUGUUGUUUCCCAUAACUUUUAUGAAAUUGCCUCUCAGCUGCAUAUUUAUGUUCCUAUGAGGCAUGAUGUUUCCAAUAGAGUAUUUUCUGGCCCUUAACACAUGCAUCCUCAGUUUGAGUUCCUCUUUUCCCCUGGACCUCUUUUAGCUUUAGUCUGUAUACAAAUUCCAUAUCAGAAGUCCUUGCUGGGAAAAAAAGUGCUGUGUACGGUGAAGAGAAUCUCAAGACAAGACACAAGGAGGUGGUUACCCUGUGAUGAUUCUUCAUGAUUAAAAAGGUGCAAUGAAGAGAUUCUCACUGUGAUGAACCCUGCAGUGCUGUAGCUGAUGACAGAAGACAGAAAGGAGCCGAACCUUAGACAUAUCAACCUAAUCAAGUGGAUUGUAAUGCAGCACUGUCACUUUUUGUCCCUGGUCUUUUAAGUACUCUGUUUUUUUCUCAUAGAAUGAGC
rnacentral:lncRNA from 1 species